AACGGCGAGUGAAGCGGCAAAAGCUCAAAUUUGAAAUCUGGCCCCUUCGGGGCCCGAGUUGUAAUUUGUAGAGGAUGCUUCGGGCGUGGCCGCGGUCUAAGUCCCCUGGAACGGGGCGUCGCAGAGGGUGAGAAUCCCGUCUUCGGCCGGCCGGCUUCGCCCAUGUGAAGCUCCUUCGACGAGUCGAGUUGUUUGGGAAUGCAGCUCUAAAUGGGUGGUAAAUUUCAUCUAAAGCUAAAUACUGGUCGGAGACCGAUAGCGCACAAGUAGAGUGAUCGAAAGAUGAAAAGCACUUUGAAAAGAGAGUUAAACAGCAUGUGAAAUUGUUGAAAGGGAAGCGCUUGCGACCAGAGUCGGCCGCGGGGGUUCAGCGGGCAUUCGUUGCCCGUGCACUCCCCCGUGGCCGGGCCAGCGUCGGUUUCGACGGCCGGUCAAAGGCCCCCGGAAUGUGUCACCCUUCGGGGUGUCUUAUAGCCGGGGGUGCAAUGCGGCCAGUCGGGACCGAGGAACGCGCUUCGGCACGGACGCUGGCUUAAUGGUCGUAAGCGACCCGUCUUGAAACACGGACCAAGGAGUCUAACAUCCACGCGAGUGUUCGGGUGUCAAACCCGUCCGCGCAGUGAAAGCGAACGGAGGUGGGAACCCUUAAGGGUGCACCAUCGACCGAUCCAGAAGUCUUCGGAUGGAUUUGAGUAAGAGCGUGGCUGUUGGGACCCGAAAGAUGGUGAACUAUGCCUGAAUAGGGUGAAGCCAGAGGAAACUCUGGUGGAGGCUCGCAGCGGUUCUGACGUGCAAAUCGAUCGUCAAAUUU
rnacentral:rRNA from 1 species